GUGGAGAUUUAGUUUGGUAUCGUACCUUUGGGAUUUGAUUCUGGGUUCAAAAUGGAGAAUACUAUUCAAUCGAGUUGGGGAAUAUGUGUAAUUUCGCUUUGCCACCAUUAUUCGUGAUUUCAUCGUAUUCAACUGCUAGGGAUAGACCCACUGAGAUAGGUACAUGGAUGCUGCUUUGGUUGCACAAACUUUUGGAGUUUUUAAAGGUGUCGAGACUAGCAAGGAGCAUCCAGUGGAAACAUUGAGAGUUGAUUCUGCUAAAGGGUGAACAUCAACCCUAUUUGGUAAAUCUUAAAUUCUUUGUAGGAAUUUUGGGAACCGAUGUUUGGGUUUCAAAAUCAUUUGUGGAUACUGUGGAAGAAGAGUAAUUUUUCUUGAGUUAGAGAAACUUGGUUUUGGUUGAAAAGUUUAGUCUAUUUCACUACAGGAGAACUUAUUUUUUCAAAUGGAGAAAUUUUGGAAUUUCAUUCGUUACACCAAAAUUCGUGUCAAUAUG
rnacentral:lncRNA from 1 species